rnacentral:lncRNA from 1 species
AGAGCAGGGCGCCCCCUGCAGGGACGCACCCGGGGCGGGGGCCAGGCUGGGGCGAGCCCCCCUUGGUUCUGGAGAGGAAAUGACAUACAGUUUGUGAAAGCAUAAAUAUUCGUGAAAAUAAGAAAAUUCAGGAAGGAAACAAAGCUUAAGGCAGUGAUUGAUAGGUUAUUUCUUGGACACAGCUGAACGUAUACUGUGCGCCUGCAACUUUCCGGUGGUUUCGGACCGGACUUCAGUGAAGCCAGUGAAGUCGGUCGACUUGCAGAACUUCCUUUCAGAGGGGCGUACACAGCACCGCGGCCGUGUGCCUGUGAUCUCCUUCUGAGUUUGAAAAAGAAGAUCCUAGACACCGAGCCAAAUAUGUUUGCAUAAACCGGGAGACUUGUGGCUCUAUUUUGUAACAGCUUGGCGCAGGGCAGCUGGUUUGGAGAUGUCUCUGUUCUUCCCUUGGUGGGGGUGCCGGAAAAAAUGUGCUGCCUGGGCGAUCGAGGUUGGGGCAAAAGCGUUGCAAAGGAAAAGGUGGGAGGACUCUACUUUCACAUUUCCCAAAAGAGUUUUACCAUAAGACUAUUUCUGGAUUGUUCUAACGUGAGGAUAUUGGGAGCAUUUUGAAAAUACUGGAGGAAAAGCUGUCACUGGGCGAUUUAAAUCCGAUUCCCCUUGUCGGCAAAGCCAGGCGCUGAUAGCGUUAUGGCUGCCAUGAGAGUCAGCAGUAUCCCAGCUUCCAAGGAUGGGUGUAAGGUGGGGGUGAGGAAGAAAAGGAACUUGAAGCUGCCUCCUGUCCCAGAAUCACAAGACAUCUGUUAAGCCCUUACUACCUCAUUCACUCCACUCACAUUAGGUUGACCCACUUGGGCAGCAAGACAAGCAGGCCUGCAAACUUCCUUUUCUUCAUCAGCCACAGAGACAUCCUCAGCUAUUAUUCUGGAUUAAGGCAGAGAUCUCCAAACAGCAGACUAAGAUCAGCCUCUAGAUCUCAAAGCCUUACUGUUAUCUCUCCAAGUCAGUGGCUGAUCUCAGAGAAGCUUCUGAAUAGUGACUAGCAAAGAGUCACUCAGGCUACUUACA